GACGACACGUGCUCCCAGCAUGGUAGGG
rnacentral:piRNA from 1 species